UGCAUUGGCCAGGAAUCAAACCCAGGCCUCCCGCGUGGCAGGCGAGCAUUCUACCACUGAACCACCGAUGC